rnacentral:rRNA from 1 species
GACGAACUGUCCUAACGUUGUUCGGAAUCACUGGGCUUAAAGGGCGCGUAGGCGGUCGAUCAAGUCAGGGGUGAAAUCCUGCAGCUUAACUGUAGAAGUGCCUUUGAUACUGGUCGUCUCGAGGGAGGUAGGGGUGUGUGGAGCUUCCAGUGGAGCGGUGAAAUGCGUUGAUAUUGGAAGGAACGCCGGAGGCGAAAGCGACGCACUGGACCUCUUCUGACGCUGAGGCGCGAAAGCUAGGGGAGCAAACGGG